rnacentral:misc_RNA from 1 species
GGAAGUAAAGUCGUAACAAGGUUUCCGUGGGUGAACCUGCGGAAGGAUCAUUAUUGUAUAACCGAGGUGCGAGGGCUGUCGCUGACCCGAAAGGUCGUGCACGCCCGAGUGCCCUCACACACAUCCAUCUCACCCCUAUGUGCACCACCGCGUGGGUCCCCCUUUGGCUUGUUCGGAGGGGGGCUUACGUUUUCACACAAACUUUGUAUGCAGUGUAGAAUGUAUUUUUUGUUUUUGCGAUCACGCAAUCAAUACAACUUUCAACAACGGAUCUCUUGGCUCUC